GCCGCCUUAGCUCAGCUGGUUAGAGCGCUAGAUUGUGGAUCUAGAGGUCCUCGGUUCGAACCCGAGAGGUGGUACCA
rnacentral:tRNA from 3 species